rnacentral:misc_RNA from 1 species
GGGAAUUUUGAUGGUUCUAUAAGCAUCAGUAAAUUAUUUGUUUAACUAUGUUAACACUGUUUGGUACCUAAAAUAAUGCAUGCUACUUAGUGCCGCUUGGACAUUAGGUUCUGGUAAGAUUGCAAAGAACACCACUCACAUGAGGUAUCUGCAAGACAAUUUUCACAUUUCAUGUUGGAAGCAUGAACAACAUAACGCUGUGAUUUUAGGAAAUUUUAUAUAUGGCUUUGUGCAUCUUAAUAUGCAAAUUUAUCAUUAUAAGAUUACAAAGAAUAUCACUCACAUGUGGUAUCUGCAAGACAAUUUUCG